rnacentral:lncRNA from 1 species
GUAUGACCCUGAUCAAGCUGUAUUUAUUUGCAUUAUCAUGUGCGAUCUUGUUUCUUGAGAUAGACUGUUUUUUUUAAUGCUUUUGUGCACUUUCUAGCUCUAGUAAAGCCCUUUAUAUAUACCAAGCAUUCAAUUAUCAUUUGAAGAAAGAAAAGACUAGGAAUGUGAUGGGGACACCGUAAAUGAACCACGUGUUGAACCACGUGUCAUAAAAAGUUAUCUCAGAAUGAGACAGGAAACAGUACAGGGGAAAGUGCCUAAAGUUCCCCAGAAGAAGGGCCUCUUCAGAAGGAACUUCAAGAUCGGCUCCUUGGGCUGGGCCCAAUCACAGGAAAGUCAGGGGCAAAGAACAACCAUGGAAGGGCAUGAAUACCCCAGACGGAGGCCAGGAGGGCUCUCUGGGUUGAAGAACAAAGAGGCACGAGCUUCAGAAGUUCCAGAAGGAUCAUGGGCAAAUCAUCGUUUGGUGCCUUUUCUGCAAAAGGAACUGCCCUUCUUCUGACCGGCCUGGCUCCAUGAACCGUAUUCAAGAUCAACCAAACUCAGGAGUGCGUGGAGGGUGGGGACCAGUAUGUGAAAAUAGAUUCAUUCGGGGUGGUGGGAAGAAAGCUUUGCUUUAUUUUCUUAUUUUAGCUUGAAUUUUUUAAAUUUUCUACACCGAACCUGUAACAAUUAUGUAACCAGAAAAAAAAUAGUGAUAAAAGUUAUUUUUCUCUAUGUGUUUUCAAUGCAAACAAUGCCUUCCUCCCUCCACAUAACCACUUAGAGAAGAGUAGCCAGAGGAAAAGCCAGCCAAGAGCCAAAUUACUUAGAGUCUGGGUCGGAAGCUUGAGAAUGGGGGGGUGGGUACUGAGACAAGAAAGAUCCCGCGUGGGGGCCCAUAUGAUCUCUUUCACUGUAAAUCUAACGCUGGUUCUAAAUCUAGGCUCAAAACCAUCUUGAGCCCCCUUCUGGCUCACAGGCUUGGUUUGGUGCACCUGCUCCUAUUGGUGGUUAACUAACCUUCUUUCUGUGUAUUUUAGUUCCACAGUGUUCAGUUUCUAUGGCAAUGAUGCUAUUUGAAAUGUAGAAAAAGGCCACUCUGUAUCCUCGGUAAAUGCAAAAUUUCUCAUCCUUGUGCAACUUACACCCAUUAAAAUCCACGUGAGGGGCCAUGAUCUCAUGUCUACAAGGUGACAUGAGAAGAAAUGAUGAAACUGUGUGUACACAGAAGGUGUGGUCUAAAAAGCCACAGAGGAGGGGCGCCUGGGUGGCUCAGUGGGUUAACUGUCCGACUUCGGCUCAGAUCAUGAUCUCGCUGUUCGUGGGUUCGAGACCCACGUCAGGCUCUGUGCUGACAGCUCAGAGCCUGGAGCCUGCUUCGGAUUCUGUGUCUCCCUCUCUCUCUCUGCCCUUCCCAGUCUUCCCUCUCAAAAAGAAAUAAAAAUACAAUAAAUAAAGCA